CUGCCAUUGUCUGUGGUGUCUACACUUCUCCAGAGUCUUUGAGGAAGGAGGAGGGGCAGAGAAGGAAAUGGGAGAUAGAUAAAGGUUCACUCACCAAUCUGGGAAGAAGAAAUUCUUAUACUCAAAAGCAAACAAACCACAUGAUUUGGCUAUUCACCAGGAAGUCUUGUGAGUCUGAAAAAUUUACUGAGUUU